rnacentral:rRNA from 1 species
UACGGGGGGGGCUAGCGUUGUUCGGAAUUACUGGGCGUAAAGGGCGCGUAGGCGGUCUGCUAAGUUGGAUGUGAAAACUCUGGGCUUAACCCAGAGCCUGCAUUCAAUACUGACAGGCUAGAGUUCUGGAGGGGAUAGCGGAAUUCCUGGUGUAGCGGUGAAAUGCGUAGAUAUCAGGAGGAACGCCGGUGGCGAAAGCGACGUGCUGGACACCUUCUGACGCUGAGGCGCGAAAGCCAGGGGAGCAAACGGG